UACGAAGGGGGCUAGCGUUGCUCGGAAUCACUGGGCGUAAAGCGCACGUAGGCGGAUUGUUAAGUCAGGGGUGAAAUCCUGGAGCUCAACUCCAGAACUGCCUUUGGUACUGGCAAUCUCGAGUCCGGGAGAGGUGAGUGGAACUGCGAGUGUAGAGGUGAAAUUCGUAGAUAUUCGCAAGAACACCAGUGGCGAAGGCGGCUCACUGGCCCGGUACUGACGCUGAGGUGCGAAAGCGUGGGGAGCAAACAGG
rnacentral:rRNA from 1 species